rnacentral:rRNA from 1 species
CGCGCAGGUGGUUUCUUAAGUCUGAUGUGAAAGCCCACGGCUCAACCGUGGAGGGUCAUUGGAAACUGGGAGACUUGAGUGCAGAAGAGGAAAGUGGAAUUCCAUGUGUAGCGGUGAAAUGCGUAGAGAUAUGGAGGAACACCAGUGGCGAAGGCGACUUUCUGGUCUGUAACUGACACUGAGGCGCGAAAGCGUGGGGAGCAAACAGGAUUAGAUACCCUGGUAGUCCACGCCGUAAACGAUGAGUGCUAAGUGUUAGAGGGUUUCCGCCCUUUAGUGCUGAAGUUAACGCAUUAAGCACUCCGCCUGGGGAGUACGGCCGCAAGGCUGAAACUUAAAAAUUGACGG